CGAUGCCUCACAAUCAGAUUGACUGGUGAAUUUGUUUAUCUACUAAGCAAGAAAGGGUGUGGGGCGUUUUUGUCUCCCCUUCUCUUGUAUGCGUCGGUAGGGGAUCAUGCCCAUCGCUUACUUUGGUAGUGGUAGGUUUGGCCCUCUUCUCGACAAACACAAACCCCGGCGCUUCGUGCGCCAAGGAAUUCCAACUUGUUAAGUGCGAUUCUCGUGGGCCCGGAGACGGUGUCCCACGUGUAUUGUCACGACACAUUUAUACACAACGACUCUCGGCAACGGAUAUCUCGGCUCUUGCAUCGAUGAAGAACGUAGCGAAAUGCGAUACUUGGUGUGAAUUGCAGAAUCCCGUGAACCAUCGAGUCUUUGAACGCAAGUUGCGCCUGAAGCCAUUAGGCUGAGGGCACGCCUGCCUGGGUGUCACACAUCGUUACCCCAACGCAAAGCGUCUCGCAUGCUAGGGGUGUAUGUUGACUUCCCGUGAGCUGCGUCUCGCGGUUAGUUGAAAAUUGAGUUCAUGGCCUUGUGCGCUGUGAUAUAAUGGUGGAUGAGUAAUGCUCGAGACCAAUCAUGCGUGACUCGGACAGUAUUGGACUCUUUGACCCUGUGUGUCUCUGCAUUUGCGUGCUAGAGAUGCUCUCAAC
rnacentral:rRNA from 1 species